UAAGCAUAUAUGCCUGGCUCCCUGUAUGCCAUUUGCAGAGCCCACCGGCACAUCGAUGGCCUUCGUGGAUGGCGUAUGAGGAGCCAUGCAUAUGCCCCAUCU
rnacentral:pre_miRNA from 1 species